UACACUCCUACGGGAGGCAGCAGUGGGGAAUUUUGGACAAUGGGCGAAAGCCUGAUCCAGCAAUGCCGCGUGAGUGAAGAAGGCCUUCGGGUUGUAAAGCUCUUUUGUCAGGGAAGAAACGGUGAAAGCUAAUAUCUUUUGCUAAUGACGGUACCUGAAGAAUAAGCACCGGCUAACUACGUGCCAGCAGCCGCGGUAAUACGUAGGGUGCAAGCGUUAAUCGGAAUUACUGGGCGUAAAGCGUGCGCAGGCGGUUUUGUAAGUCUGAUGUGAAAUCCCCGGGCUCAACCUGGGAAUUGCAUUGGAGACUGCAAGGCUAGAAUCUGGCAGAGGGGGGUAGAAUUCCACGUGUAGCAGUGAAAUGCGUAGAUAUGUGGAGGAACACCGAUGGCGAAGGCAGCCCCCUGGGUCAAGAUUGACGCUCAUGCACGAAAGCGUGGGGAGCAAACAGGAUUAGAAACCCCGGUAGUCCC
rnacentral:rRNA from 1 species